GUGGGGAAUCUUGCGCAAUGGGCGAAGGCCUGACGCAGCCAUGCCGCGUGAAUGAUGAAGGUCUUAGGAUUGUAAAAUUCUUUCACCGGGGACGAUAAUGACGGUACCCGGAGAAGAAGCUCCGGCUAACUUCAUGCCAGCAGCCGCGGUAAUACGAAGGGGGCUAGCGUUGCUCGGAAUUACUGGGCGUAAAGGGCGCGUAGGCGGACAGCUUAGUCAGAGGUGAAAGCCCAGGGCUCAACCUUGGAAUUGCCUUUGAUACUGGCUGUCUUGAGUUUGGGAGAGGUGAGUGGAACUCCGAGUGUAGAGGUGAAAUUCGUAGAUAUUCGGAAGAACACCAGUGGCGAAGGCGACUCACUGGCCCGUUACUGACGCUGAGGCGCGAAAGCGUGGGGAGCAAACAGGAUUAGAUACCCGAGUAGUCC
rnacentral:rRNA from 1 species